AUACGUAGGGUGCGAGCGUUGUCCGGAAUUACUGGGCGUAAAGAGCUCGUAGGUGGUUUGUCGCGUCGUCUGUGAAAUUCCGGGGCUUAACUCCGGGCGUGCAGGCGAUACGGGCAUAACUUGAGUACUGUAGGGGAGACUGGAAUUCCUGGUGUAGCGGGGAAAUGCGCAGAUAUCAGGAGGAACACCGGUGGCGAAGGCGGGUCUCUGGGCAGUAACUGACGCUGAGGAGCGAAAGCAUGGGUAGCGAACAGGAUUAGAUACCCUGGUAGUCCAUGCCGUAAACGGUGGGCGCUAGGUGUAGGGGUCUUCCACGACUUCUGUGCCGUAGCUAACGCAUUAAGCGCCCCGCCUGGGGAGUACGGCCGCAAGGCUAAAACUCAAAUGAAUUGACGGG
rnacentral:rRNA from 1 species